rnacentral:rRNA from 1 species
GUGGGGAAUCUUGCGCAAUGGGCGAAAGCCUGACGCAGCCAUGCCGCGUGAAUGAUGAAGGUCUUAGGAUUGUAAAAUUCUUUCACCGGGGACGAUAAUGACGGUACCCGGAGAAGAAGCUCCGGCUAACUUCGUGCCAGCAGCCGCGGUAAUACGAAGGGGGCUAGCGUUGCUCGGAAUUACUGGGCGUAAAGGGCGCGUAGGCGGACAGCUUAGUCAGAGGUGAAAGCCCAGGGCUCAACCUUGGAAUUGCCUUUGAUACUGGCUGUCUUGAGUUUGGGAGAGGUGAGUGGAAAUCCGAGUGUAGAGGUGAAAUUCGUAGAUAUUCGGAAGAACACCAGUGGCGAAGGCGACUCACUGGCCCAAUACUGACGCUGAGGCGCGAAAGCGUGGGGAGCAAACAGGAUUAGAUACCCUGGUAGUCC